rnacentral:lncRNA from 1 species
GUUAAAUGGCCAGCAGGAAUUAUCCACUAGAGAAGCGGAAGGGAGAGAAUGGAAAUGGCCGCAUGCAGCUCCUCUCCCUCAGACAGCUCGGGGCUCAGCGGAAUGAGCACAGUCUGCAGGACAAGUGCGGAGGACUUCAGUCCCCUCUACUGUAUAUUGGCUUUAGGACUCAAGUUGUCCCUGAAAUAGAGGAAGGUGUUUUCUAGGGUAGUGGUAAUUAUCACAGUCAAAAAAGUAGGCGAGAGCACUUAGGAAAACUGUGCGGAGAUCGGCUGCUGAUGUGUAAAUACUGCUGAAGCUGCUUAUUCAAGAUUAGAAAACCUGAGACCCAGACGGGGGAAACUGCUUUCCAUGGUUAAUCGUCAACAACUGGCCAGGAUGGGACAGAAGCCCAUACAUAGCCUUCAUUCCAGGGCUCAGAACAAAAAGAAGGCAGUGGCCUGGGCUGCACCUGAGCUUGGCUUCACAUAGGAGGGAUUCUGGAACGCAGGAUCCUGACAACGACCUCAAGCCCCUGUAAAGCAACACAUUUUUUGGCAAGAAUCCCUGGGACAGAGAAAGAAUUUCUUCUCACUUAUUAUUGAGAAUGUUCUCAUGUCUUGCAAGGCUCACUGCCCAGUAGAAGCUGAAAAGAUUCAGUAUGAGUAAAAGAAGAGAUCUGAAAUUUGCAGCUUGUCAUAGAAAGAACUGAGACUACCAUACACCUAAGAAGUCAAAGUUGCUAUUCAAGGGGAAGUGCAAACACAAGAUGAGGGAAACUGAUGUAUUUAGUGUCUACAUUUUACAAAUGGAUGCUUUUCAUAAUAUGAAAAUACUGCACCAUAAGAUUGCCAGUCACAACAGCACGGCUACAGUGAAAAUUGUCAGUCUUUUUUUUUUCCAGGAUCCCAGUGGAUUUGUUACGGUGAGAAAGCUUCACUUGGAGACAAAGCCAAAACCUUCCUCCCAGGCUCCCUUGGAUGUAGGGGGAAGCAAACUGGCUGUCCAGGCCUCUGAGCCACAUCUACACACCUCAUGAGAGGGCCUGUGCAACAUUGCCUUAGAGAUGGAGAGCAUUGCUUCAGAAUCAGGGAAGCCUAAAUUUCACCCCUGGGGCUGCCCCUUGUGAUCUUGAAUGGCUCCUGACAAGAGGCUGCUGGGGAGGCUCCUGCUCCCUGCCUUUCGGGACUGCCGUGGAUUGCCCAUUGAUGGGUCAAAAUCCAGCUACCUGGUAAUUCAAUGAGUCCCUAGUGUGCAUCCAAUAAAUUAUCUUCUGUUUAAAUUAGAACAAACUGUUUUUAAUCUGUGUGCUAAGAAUCUCAUUAAAUGCAUCAUAAAUUUCAAAAUC